rnacentral:sRNA from 1 species
UCCUUCAUUUUGUUUUUCUUCUUUAU